GUUUAAUGAUGAAUAUCCAUGCUAAUUUUGAAACAUCAAGGGAUUGUUUUCCCUCUGGAUGUGCCUGUUAAAUAUCUUAUGAAACUGAAAACA